rnacentral:rRNA from 1 species
AGUGAACGCUGGCGGUAGGCCUAACACAUGCAAGUCGAACGGCAGCACAGUAAGAGCUUGCUCUUACGGGUGGCGAGUGGCGGACGGGUGAGGAAUACAUCGGAAUCUACUUUUUCGUGGGGGAUAACGUAGGGAAACUUACGCUAAUACCUCAUACGACCUACGGGUGAAAGCAGUGGAUCUUCGGACCUUGCGCGAUUGAAUGAGCCGAUGUCGGAUUAGCUAGUUGGCGGGGUAAAGGCCCACCAAGGCGACGAUCCGUAGCUGGUCUGAGAGGAUGAUCAGCCACACUGGAACUGAGACACGGUCCAGACUCCUACGGGAGGCAGCAGUGGGGAAUAUUGGACAAUGGGCGCAAGCCUGACCGAGCCAUACCGCGUGGGUGAAGAAGGCCUUCGGGUUGUAAAGCCCUUUUGUUGGGAAAGAAAAGAAGCAGGUUAAUACCCGGAUGUUCUGACGGUACCCAAAGAAAAAGCACCGGCUAACUUCGUG